rnacentral:lncRNA from 1 species
CAGAAAGCCAAAUGCAAUUCUUGCCUGUCCAUUAGCAUAUGAAGAAAAUUGCAUUUAUAAGAGCUGCAAUUGAAUGUGAAAACCGAAAAACCUCUGGAGCUUUACUACGCUUAUUGGAUAGAGAUCCUGAAAAAUGGCUGUCACAUUCUGACAGCAUAAAUAUGUUCCCAGCAAAAUGCAAUUCAAUUCAAAUUAAUGAUUACAAUUUUCCAUUGCCUGAACAUGGCAGAAAAUUUAGUAUUUAAUUUUACAGCAAAAUUAUUUUAGAUAGAGAAAGAAAUUGUAGAAAUAGUUUUUAUAUGUUUUUACAUCCUAGGUAGCAAAUAUUUUAUUACUGCUGUGACAGAGUUCUAUAACCAGUCCACAAGAUCAGUUUGGGCCAGUUAAGGUGUUUGUGCCUGGAAACACUUAGGUUCUUGACUAAAGUGAAAUAUCACUUGUGCACACAAAAAAAAAUGCAUACACGACUACUAGAAUUAAUUUUUUUAAAGACUGAAUAAAGGGCCAAACAAAAAUAGUAUUCAACAGAGACAAAUGAUGUUCUUAUAUGAUGUAGGAUGUCCUUAUAAAAUAAAAUUUAUCUCCAAUACUUAAUCAAACAUGAUGCUUUUUGUGGCAAUGACAGCUCAAAAUUUACAGAAAAUAAUGGAAAUUUUCUAGGUUUCGUAGAAAUUAUUUCAAAAUGUGAUGCGAAAAUAUUCAACACAUAAUAUAGGUUUAAAAAUGCAUCAGAUGAUCACCAUAUAGAAUGGAGAAUGCAAAAUGAGAUUAUUAAUUUGUUUUAAAGUAAGAGAACUCAUACACAACAUAUUUAGAAGUAAAUCUUACUCAAUUUAAUUAGAUUAUAUUACAAACUAUAAUCAAAAGUAGUAUAUUUCUUUUUCUUUAUUAUUAUAAAAGUAAUAUAUUAGAUUUUAAAAGUCAUGGAAACAAGUAAUAUAUAUAUUGAUGAACCACCAGAAAGAAAAAACCCAAGGAAAUUGAAAUUAAUAUUCCCUGAGUUUACAUUUCCAGUGAUAAUUACAUUCAAUCGUAUUUGCUGUUUUGCUGGCUUUCACUCAUUUAAAAACCACAGCUUUAUGGAUUUUUUUUAUUUUGUUGUCAUGAAAGUAUGUUCUCUUUGUUGUGAUGAAACUAGUUAAAGCAGAGAGGAUGUGUUUUAUUUAACCGUUUGCUAGCUUGAUUUUACACUUUAAUUAUUUAGACAUAUGGUACAUGAGUCUCUAUUUGUGUUGUUACCUGGGCCCAACAAACGUUGGCAGGAAGCCUGGUUGCCACCCACCAGAUCUGACUUCCUCAGGUGUGGAUCCUCAGAGCCUCCUGGAACUCGCUGUGCAGCCACAUCAGUUUGCCAAGCCCUGGUCACCCCAAUCCCCAGCUUCUUCCUCAACCUACCUAGCCCGUUGUUGAUGUACCAGCGCGUCUCAGGAUCAAGUGCACGUGUGUAGCUACAACAGAGUUCUGAAAGUGUGAAACGUACUAAACCAAGCAUGUGUGCGGAGUGGCCUCACAGGCGAACUCAGAAUACUCAGAACUCUUUUACCAGCUGAGGAAACCAUCCUACUCCUUUCUCCCACCCUCCAGACUCCCAGGUCACCAGUAUUUGGUAUUUGAGAACUGUGAGUACCAGUCUUGUGGGAAGUGAAGAGAGAUUUAAGUUUAUGCUAAUCUUCCCCUCUCAAAGCCUAAUUACUUAAAGGCCAUUGGUCUGUGUGAACUCCUACAGCUAUUAAGAGUUAGGGAAGUCACAUAUUAAUUAUUCAAAUGAUUGAUCUGCUGGAUGAAUUAGCCCCCACCUUCCCCUCAUGUCCCAGCCUCUGAGGUGCUUUCCCCAUUUGUCAGCCACUGUGUACCGUGGGAUGCAAGCUGUCCCUAAUUGUUGGAGCAGUACAUCUGCUGAUCCAAAAAAUAAGAAGUACAUGCAGAUGGUAACAUUCUGGGUUCAGUCGCUUAGAAGAUUUCUCGUGCAUUACAGCGCUGCUCCUUUCUAUUACCACAGACCCUCAAGGGUAGCUGCGAAGGGAAGAAUUUAGUGGCAAUCUGUGCCCACAUCCAGAUAAGGGAUGGACUGCUCCAGGCUCUUUGAUGUCCAGAAGAGCCUAGAGUCUGUGGGGUGGGAUUUCCCUGAGAGCAGUACUUCCAUUCCUCAAAGACAGCCUGGGAGAGUGAAAAAACAAACACACGGAAAAAUAGGACAACUGAAGCCUGACGAAAUAAGCUGGUACCUUACCCACCCCAGGGCAUCUUGUGAGUUCAGCUUUGCUGGGUCUUGCAGAAAAAUCACUCACUGUUUCUCUGUCUUUUAUAGAGACAUGUUUUCUUAUUAUUCCAUAAGGAGUGGCUAUGUAUUGUACAAACUACAGGAAUCACAGAUAAGCAAAAUAACAUACAGCUAACUGCAGAUGAGCAAAGUAAAAUAUAAUAAAACAAAAAUCACCUGUAAUCCUACCCAUACUAUCACUGCUACACUUUGCUAUAUAUCCUUCCAGUCCUGUGUUUGUGUUUGUGUGUGUGUAUGUGUGUGUGUGUGCAUGUGUUUUAGUAAAAAUGAGGUCAUAUUGUAAAUGCUAUUUGACAGUCUGCCUUUUUAAUCAACAAUAUUAUGAAGGCUUUUCAUGGCUUCAAAUUUUCUGCUUUAUUACCGUUAUUAUUGAAAAUAAAUUCUCAAUAUAUGGUAGCUACUUUUAUGUGCCAUGCACUAUGCUAAGAGCUCCAAUUAAGUCAUGUCAUUUAGUCAUUUCUGUGACUCUAGGAAGUGGAUAUCAUUAUCCCCAUUUCACAGAUUAGGAAAUUAAGUCUCAGAGCUUGAGUAAUUUAAAAUAUGCCACAAAAGUGGUAAGUGACAUCACAGAUUAGAGCCCAGUUCUGCUGAGAAAGCUCAGGUUUUUAAUCAAUAUGAUAAGACUUCCGCUUAGCAUCAUCUUCUAAUAAUCUUUUGAGUAAAAACAGGGAUAGAUCAACAGGUAGUAGGUGAAUCAGGCAACUGACAAUCAAAAGACAUACAGAAACAAAUGUAAGUAUAAUCAAGCAUAUCAUCAUAUACAUGGAUGUGCAGGGGUGUUUGUAGAUCACAGAGAUAUAAUGAUACAAUCCGGGAUCAAAAGAAGGAAAAUCAGAAGUGAGAGUGAGGUCAGAGGAAAUGACAUGGAAAGUGUUUUUCAUCCUUUCCCUGGGCAAGUUGAGGACAUCUCUGAGAAGUAGAAACUACCCUUUAUCUCCUUUUCAUCCUUAUAACCAAUCUUCUUCAGUCACAUUUGGUGGCUCCCCUUCCUUGUCUCACCCACUAGCUGGGGAUAUUUCCCAAGGAAGACCACAUUCUUUUCUUUCCUUUUCUCCCUCAGGUGUCUCAGGCCUCCGGAUAGCCUACCUCUUAUCAUCAGAUGAUUUUCAAGUCAAUAUCUAGCUCUCCCCUUUAUCCAGAGUUAUGCUUCUGCAGCUCCAAAUGCCUGUGGAUUGCUCUACGUGCAUAUCCCAGUCAUUUCAAAUUCAAGAUGUAGAGCUCAACUCUCCCCUCCAAAAUUGAUUCUCCUUCUCAUCCCUCAAUUUCUGUUAGUGGCAUUAUUGCUCUCUCACUCUCUGGGCUCCAAUCUCAACUUAUCUUUGAUCAUUCCUCUUCCAUAGCCCACUUCUAAGCAGCUCCUCCCCACCACACCUUGCUCAGAGAAGUAAGCCCUAGCCUUUCCUUGAGCAUAAAUUGAAGGGUGGUAGCAGGUAUAAGCCUGGGGUCACACAUUCCAACAGGAUUCCAUCACAGGUGCAUCUGACCCACCACAAAAGGGAAGAGAGAACACGAUGAAUAUCUUUUGUUUUGGCCUGCCCAGUGUCCCUUCUUCUAGUAAUGGAAUCAUCUCUUCAUUUGGAGAAGACAACCCUCCCCCAUUAUCCAUCCACAGUUUUCAAGUGGGGCUGACUCACUUCCCAGCUCCAAAAGCCUGGGCACCUGAAUCAGGCCAGACUAAUCAGAGUCAGAGAGAGUGGACCAGGAAUGGACAUGUGACUCAAUCUAGGCCAAUGGAAAUCAUUCCAGUUGAUGGAAAAUAAUUGUGAAACUUUCUGAUGGCUGUUUCUGUCGUGACUUGGGAGGCCGCUAGCUGAGAAUAAGGACCAGACAAAAGAGAGAUGGAGCACUGAAGACAUCUUUGACUAUCUAGAUCCAACCGUGUUUGAAGCCAAACAAUCCCUACACUUACCAACCAGCGGUACUCCAGUUAGUGUUUCUCACGUCAGCCUGGUGUCCAGAGUGAGAGUAACGUGGAACAGAGCCCCCAGCUGACCUGUGACGGACACAUAGCAUGAG